rnacentral:rRNA from 1 species
UACGAAGGGGGGCUAGCGUUGCUCGGAAUCACUGGGCGUAAAGGCGCGUAGGCGGCCAUUCAAGUCAGAGGUGAAAGCCCAAGGCUCAACCUUGGAACUGCCUUUGAUACUGUUUGGCUUGAGACCGGUAGAGGUAAGUGGAACUGCGAGUGUAGAGGUGAAAUUCGUAGAUAUUCGCAAGAACACCAGUGGCGAAGGCGGCUUACUGGACCGGUUCUGACGCUGAGGCGCGAAAGCGUGGGGAGCAAACAGG